AGUUGAUUACUUAGUAUGAAGGUGUUUAUGUAUGCACUGUGCGUUCGAGAUAAUCUUGGUGCAGCUAGCUCAUGAAAUACUGAUUCUUGCUAAGAUAUUUAUGUUUGAAUUUUCCUAAAGAAGUUCAAGAUAAUCUUGGUGUGAUCAUGAAACCGAGAAGUUGAUUCAAUGCAGAUAUGUAGGUCGUAGAUGGACAAGCCUGGUGGAGUGCCAGUGAGAAGCAACGUCUUAGAAAGAAACGUUUGAGCAGCAUGUGGUUACUCAGAGCAGAGCAAAUGUGUUAUGGUUGAUCAAAACAAUAUCCUUACUAGCUGAAGUUCCCGCCAGAGGUAGCCUGCAGUUCUAAUUAACAUAACCAGACUUGCAAAAAUUUCUUUGGUCACUGGCCGUUUCGAGUCCUGGCUGUGAGAGCUCCAACCUAUUUGUUUUUGCAAGUCCUAUUUAUCUAUGCACACAAGAUGUUUGGCAGAAAUCCAAACAGGAUGUUCUCAUAUAUAGGAUUGUUGGUGGAGCUCAUUGUGUUUGUGAAGGUACCUAAUAUUGUUGAUGAUCCAAACCCUCCCCUGCCCCAUCUACUACGUCUUCGACAGUUAACACAAGGUUGCUUUCAUAUUUUGUUCCGAGCUUAUUUGAUCGUUUGGUUGACAGAAGAUAAAAAAAAGGACCUAAGUUGGUUGGUGAGCUAACUCAAGUAAUAACUUGCAAUUUCUAUUUGUCCUUUUGUCGACCACUGCUGUAGAUGUAUUUAUCUUCCUGUUAGCCCCUACUCUAUAUAGCCCCUACUGGAGCACCAUUAGAAGUAGCAGCGACAUGCAACAACAUCAGUGCUUCCAUCGUCCAGCUGGUACGGCUUCCUUGCCUUCGCCCCAUGCUUUGCCAUCCCUACCAGUAGGAGCACAACAGAAAUGUGAUGAUAGCCUCCGCCAACCAUGGCCAGAAAGUAGAUAUGCUACCCCCUCAAAUGUCUCCUUACUGUAAUUAGUUUAAGUGUUGUUGCUUACAACCUCCUCAAACCACAGUCAGAAAGUACAAGCUAUGCCACUCUGUAAAAUGCUUCCUUAAUGUAAUUAGUUUAAGUGUUGUGGUGCAUUUGGUGCUGAUAAUAUGUAGGAUAACGUAUCCAACAUACUUAAUCUUCCAGAUUGUUGGAUGCAUUAUUUGUUUGGAGAUGCUACCAAUGCUGUUGUGAAAUUUUAUUACAUGAGAA